GCUGCGGGACGACCUUGGGCGGCAGCUAGCAGCGAGUCCUAGCUGAUGUGGCCCUGAGUCAGCUUUUAGAGGUCCCAAGACUCGUUCACAGGCCGCUAAACGCAAACUAAGGCACCUCCCAGCACACCAGGAUCGACGUGUCCUCCUUCAGUCCGGACUCGGCGGAAUCUGCACCUGGGAGCCCCUCCCCAAAUGACCUGCUAGCCGCAGUCCAGGAAGCAGGCACCCCUCACUCCCCUUCUCAAAUGGGGGCUCUAUUCCUGUCUCUAGCUCUGGAGUUGUUGUGAGGAUAAAGGGAGGGGCCACCUCAAAGAAAAAAAUAAAGAGCCCUGGACCUAUAUGAUGAAAG
rnacentral:lncRNA from 10 species